rnacentral:rRNA from 1 species
CACGUAGGGCGCAAGCGUUGUCCGGAAUUAUUGGGCGUAAAGAGCUCGUAGGUGGUUUGUUACGUCUGCUGUGAAAACCUAGGGCUUAACCCUGGGCUUGCAGUGGAUACGGGCAGACUAGAGGUAGGUAGGGAGAAUGGAAUUCCUGGUGUAGCGGUGAAAUGCGCAGAUAUCAGGAGGAACACCGGUGGCGAAGGCGGAUCUCUGGCCAGUACUGACACUGAGGAGCGAAGCGUGGGAGCAACAGG